UACGUAGGGUGCGAGCGUUAAUCGGAAUUACUGGGCGUAAAGCGUACGCAGGCGGCUAUGCAAGACAGAUGUGAAAUCCCCGGGCUCAACCUGGGAACUGCAUUUGUGACUGCACAGCUAGAGUUUGUCAGAGGGGGGUGGAAUUCCACGUGUAGCAGUGAAAUGCGUAGAGAUGUGGAGGAACACCGAUGGCGAAGGCAGCCCCCUGGGACCUGACUGACGCUCAUGUACGAAAGCGUGGGGAGCAAACAGG
rnacentral:rRNA from 1 species